rnacentral:hammerhead_ribozyme from 1 species
GCCUAGUCGUGCAAGCGACGAACGCACCGGCGCCACUCUCCUGAUGAGUCCAAGGCAGGACGAAACUAGUG